rnacentral:rRNA from 1 species
GACGAACGCUGGCGGCGUGCUUAACACAUGCAAGUCGAACGAAGUGGCGAACGGGUGAGUAAUACGUGGGUAACCUGCCCUCCUUUAUGGGAUAUGCCUUUGAAACGGGGUCUAAUACCGAGUAAAGGGGGCUGGGGUCGAGGCCUAUCUGCUUGUUGGUUGGGUGAUGGCCUAGCAAGGCGGUGACGGGUAGCCGGCCUGGUAGGGUGACCGGCCACAUGGGGACUGGGGUACGGCGCAGACGCGUACGGGAGGAAGCAGUGGGGGAUAGGGCACAAUGGGCGCAAGACUGAUACGGGGAAGCCGCGAGGGGGAUGAAGGCUUUCAGGUUGUAAACCUUUUUCGCUAUCGAACGGGUAGGUGGAGAAGAAGCGCCGGCUAACUACGUGCCAGCAGCCGCGGUAAUUC